UGGGGAUAUUGCACAAUGGGGGAAACCCUGAUGCAGCGACGCCGCGUGAGUGAAGAAGUAUUUCGGUAUGUAAAGCUCUAUCGGCAGGGAAGAAAAAAUGACAGUACCUGACUAAGAAGCCCCGGCUAACUACGUGCC
rnacentral:rRNA from 1 species